GAUGAACGCUAGCUACAGGCUUAACACAUGCAAGUCGAGGGGCAGCAUGAACAUAGCUUGCUAUGUUUGAUGGCGACCGGCGCACGGGUGCGUAACACGUAUCCAAUCUACCCAUGGCUCGGGGAUAGCCUUUCGAAAGAAAGAUUAAUACCCGAUGGUCUCGGUUUAAGGCAUCUUAGACUGAGUAAAGAUUUAUCGGCGAUGGAUGAGGAUGCGUCUGAUUAGGUAGAUGGCGGGGUAACGGCCCACCAUGCCUACGAUCAGGAGGGGUUCUGAGAGGAAGGUCCCCGACGUUGGAACGGAGACACGGUCCAAACUCCUACGGGAGGCAGCAGUGAGGAAUAUUGGUCAAUGGACGAGGGACUGAACCAGCCAAGUAGCGUGAAGGAUGACUGCCCUAUGGGUUGUAAACUUCUUUUGUUUGGGAAUAAAGUUCGGGACGUGUCCCGUUUUGUAUGUACCAUUCGAAUAAGCAUCGGCUAAUUCCGUGCCAGCAGCCGCAGUAAUAC
rnacentral:rRNA from 1 species